rnacentral:misc_RNA from 1 species
GAUGAAGAACGUAGCGAAAUGCGAUACUUGGUGUGAAUUGCAGAAUCCCGUGAACCAUCGAGUCUUUGAACGCAAGUUGCGCCCGAAGCCAUCAGGUUGAGGGCACGUCUGCCUGGGCGUCACAUAUCGUUGCUCGAUGCCUAUCGCAUUGCGAUAGGACUUAGGGCGAAUGAUGGCUUCCCGUGAGCGUUGUUGCCUCGCGGUUGGUUGAAAAUCGAGUCCUUGGUAGGGUGUGCCAUGAUAGAUGGUGGUCGAGUUAGUACGAGACCGAUCAUGUGCAUGCUCCCCAAAAUAUGGCCUCUGUGACCCACAUGCGUCCCUUGGAUGCCCCCUAAGGAGACCUCAGGUCAGGCGGGGCUACCCGCUGAGUUUAAGCAUAUCAAUAAGCGGAGGA